rnacentral:rRNA from 1 species
CUACGGGUGGCACCAGUGGGGAAUAUUGCACAAUGGGCGCAAGCCUGAUGCAGCCAUGCCGCGUGUAUGAAGAAGGCCUUCGGGUUGUAAAGUACUUUCAGCGGGGAGGAAGGGAGUAAAGUUAAUACCUUUGCUCAUUGACGUUACCCGCAGAAGAAGCACCGGCUAACUCCGUGCCAGCAGCCGCGGUAAUACGGAGGGUGCAAGCGUUAAUCGGAAUUACUGGACGUAAAGCGCACGCAGGCGGUUUGUUAAGUCAGAUGGGAAACCCCGGGCUCAACCUGGGAACUGCAUCUGAUACUGGCAAGCUUGAGUCUCGUAGAGGGGGGUAGAAUUCCAGGUGUAGCGGUGAAAUGCGUAGAGAUCUGGAGGAAUACCGGUGGCGAAGGCGGCCCCCUGGACGAAGACUGACGCUCAGGUGCGAAAGCGUGGGGAGCAAACAGGAUUAGAUACCCGGGUAGUC